rnacentral:rRNA from 1 species
GCUACUGGCUAUAGCCUAUACAUGCAGUCGAGCGAAUGGAUUGAGAGCUUGCUCUCAUGAAGUUAGCGGCGGACGGGUGAGUAACACGUGGGUAACCUGCCCAUAAGACUGGGAUAACUCCGGGAAACCGGGGCUAAUACCGGAUAACAUUUUGAACUGCAUGGUUCGAAAUUGAAAGGCGGCUUCGGCUGUCACUUAUGGAUGGACCCGCGUCGCAUUAGCUAGUUGGUGAGGUAACGGCUCCCUAGGGGACUUGUGGCUCUCCGUCCCGAGCAUGUGAUCGGGUGUGUUUGGAAGGAGACACGGGGCAUACUCCUACGGGAGGCUCCCCAAAGUUAGGCACUUUGUCGCCGCAAUGGCACGAAAAGCGUCUGACGGAGCAUCGGCAGCGUUAAUGAUGAAGGGCUUUCGGUUCGUAAAUCUGUGUUGGUAGGAAAGAACAAAGUGCUAGUUGAGUAAGCUGGCACUGUGACGGUACUUACCCAGAACGACACGGCUAUCUACGUGCCAGCAGCCGCGGUAAUACGUAGCUGACAUGCGUUAUCCUGCAUUAUUGGGCAGUAAAGCGCGCGCAGGUGGUUUCUGAAGUCUGAUGUGAAAGCCCAACGGCAUCCACCACUGGAGAGUCAUUGGAAACGAGGGAGACUUGGAGUGCAGAAGAGGAAAGUGGAAUUCCGAUGUGUAGCGGUGAAAUGCGUAGAGAUAUGGAGGAACACCAGUGGCGAAGGCGACUUUCUGGUCUGUAACUGACACUGAGGCGCGAAAGCGUGGGGAGCAAACAGGAUUAGAUACCCUGGUAGUCCACGCCGUAAACGAUGAGUGCUAAGUGUUAGACGGGUUUCUGCCCUUUAGUGCUGUAGUUAACUGCAUUAAGCACUCCGCCUGGGGCAGUACGGGCCGCAACGGCUGAAACUCAAAGGCAAUUGACGGGGGCCCCGCACGAAGCCGGUGGGAGCAUGUGCUUUAAGUUCGAACGCAACGCGACGAACUUUAACCAGGUCUUGACAUCCUCUGAACACCCUAGAGAUAGGGCUUCUCCUCCGGGAGCAUAGUGACAGUUGGUGCAUGUUCGUCGUCAGCUCUUGUCAUGAGAAUGUUGGGUUAAGUGCUCGCAAACGAGGCGCAUCCCCUGGAUCGUAGUUGCCAGUUAUUAGAGGUGGGUAACUCUCAAGGGAACUACCGCGGGUACAAACCGGAAGCAUUUGCGGAGUUACAUUGAAAAAUCAUGUGUCCCCUUAUAGAAAAAACCCUGGCUACACACGUGCUACAAUGGACGGUACAAAGAGCUGCAAGACCGCGAGGUGGAGCUAAUCUCAUAAAACCGUUCUCAGUUCGGAUUGUAGGCUGCAACUCGCCUACAUGAAGCUGGAAUCGCUAGUAAUCGCGGAUCAGCAUGCCGCGGUGAAUACGUUCCCGGGCCUUGUACACACCGCCCGUCACACCACGAGAGUUUGUAACACCCGAAGUCGGUGGGGUAACCUUUUUGGAGCCAGCCGCCUAAGGUGGGACAGAUGAUUGGGGCAAGUCGAACAAUGAGACGUAGAC